AAAGGAGAAGAAGAAGAAAAAAAACAAUCAUCACCCGUACAAAAUCAAACUUAAUUUCAUCCACACUAGUUGGAAA
rnacentral:sRNA from 1 species